CGUGGUGAUUAGAGGCUAGGGAACACCUGAAGACUAGAGUGAAGUCAGAGUCAUCUUCACCUUGCUUUUGUGUUUGUGGGGAUAUACUGAACAGACCCUCACAAGAAACAAGGCUUGAAAUUAGGUGGAGUGAGUAGUCGAUCAUAUUGACCCCAACGCUUGACUGAUACUUAUCUUAUCAAUCACAAAAGGAUCAAACGAACCGUCGACCUCGACAGAAUUUGAACGCAGAUUGCGAAGGCGGAUGAAGUGCUGCUGGCGUGCUAACCAGUCUGCAGCUUAUCACCCUAUGAACACGAAAUAAUGGUUACUCAACAUAUAGUCCACGGGUAGACGCAGAGAGAAGAGUAAAAACUAGCGGACCUUGAAACCACCUGAUGGAUCUCCAGUCGAACAAAUUGUAUAAACAAGAGGAAUCCACACGAGAUUCUGAAGAGAAAUAGCUGAGUGUAGUGAAUCGUAUGGAAUCUAAGAGAUUGGGUACAACAAGCACCAUGAGAAAAGAGAGACGACUGGGACCAAUUGUAGUGCGAAGACGGCAUGAAUCCAGCCAGUUCCGCAGUGCAGGGAGAAGACUUAGCUCGUUUAUGGCGAAAGACAACCAGUGUAGCUUUUUUACUCGGUACAGUCUAGUAUGACUAUAUGUGCAGCAACAGCUCCGUUGCAAAUGUGAUGAAAGUAAUAAGACGUGUGGUGGUGGUGGUGGUGGUGGUGCUGCUUGUACGAAUUGCGUGUUUUGUCCCAAGGAAGUGAGUAAAAUUGCAGCUGCUGCGCAUGCAUAGUUUCUUGCAUUGAUAAA